CGGAGGAAAAGAAACAACAGGGAUUGCCCUAGUAACGGCGAGUGAAGCGGCAACAGCUCAAAUUUGAAAUCUGGCUUCGGCCCGAGUUGUAAUUUGUAAAGGAAGAUUUAGGCGCGGCACCUUCUGAGUCCCCUGGAACGGGGCGCCAUAGAGGGUGAGAGCCCCGUAUAGUUGGAUGCCUAGCCUGUGUAAAUCUCCUUCGACGAGUCGAGUAGUUUGGGAAUGCUGCUCAAAAUGGGAGGUAAAUUUCUUCUAAAGCUAAAUACCGGCCAGAGACCGAUAGCGCACAAGUAGAGUGAUCGAAAGAUGAAAAGCACUUUGAAAAGAGGGUUAAAUAGCACGUGAAAUUGUUGAAAGGGAAGCGCUUGUGACCAGACUUGCGUCGGGCUGAUCAUCCGGUGUUCUCACCGGUGCACUCUGCCCGGCUCAGGCCAGCAUCGGUUCUCGCGGGGGGAUAAAGGUCCCGGGAAUGUAGCUCCUCCGGGAGUGUUAUAGCCCGGGGUGUAAUGCCCUCGCGGGGACCGAGGUUCGCGCUCUGCAAGGAUGCUGGCGUAAUGGUCAUCAGCGACCCGUCUUGAAACACGGACCAAGGAGUCAAGGUUUUGCGCGAGUGUUUGGGUGUAAAACCCGCACGCGUAAUGAAAGUGAACGUAGGUGAGAGCUUCGGCGCAUCAUCGACCGAUCCUGAUGUUUUCGGAUGGAUUUGAGUAAGAGCGUUAAGCCUUGGACCCGAAAGAUGGUGAACUAUGCUUGGAUAGGGUGAAGCCAGAGGAAACUCUGGUGGAGGCUCGCAGCGGUUCUGACGUGCAAAUCGAUCGUCAAAUCUGAGCAUGGGGGCGAAAGACUAAUCGAACCAUCUAGUAGCUGGUUACCGCCGAAGUUUCCCUCAGGAUAGCAGUGUUGUCUUCAGUUUUAUGAGGUAAAGCGAAUGAUUAGGGACUCGGGGGCGCUUUUUAGCCUUCAUCCAUUCUCAAACUUUAAAUAUGUAAGAAGCCCUUGUUACUUAAUUGAACGUUGGGCAUUCGAAUGUUACCAACACUAGUGGGCCAUUUUUGGUAAG
rnacentral:rRNA from 1 species